UACGAAGGGGGCUAGCGUUGCUCGGAAUCACUGGGCGUAAAGGGUGCGUAGGCGGGUCUUUAAGUCCGGGGUGAAAUCCUGGAGCUCAACUCCAGAACUGCCUUUGAUACUGAGGAUCUUGAGUACGGGAGAGGUGAGUGGAACUGCGAGUGUAGAGGUGAAAUUCGUAGAUAUUCGCAAGAACACCAGUGGCGAAGGCGGCUCACUGGCCCGAUACUGACGCUGAGGCACGAAAGCGUGGGGAGCAAACAGG
rnacentral:rRNA from 1 species